UACGGGGGGGGUAAGCGUUGUUCGGAAUUACUGGGCGUAAAGGGCUCGUAGGCGGCCAACUAAGUCAUACGUGAAAUCCCUCGGCUUAACCGGGGAACUGCGCCUGAUACUGGUUGGCUUGAGUUUGGGAGAGGGACGCGGAAUUCCAGGUGUAGCGGUGAAAUGCGUAGAUAUCUGGAGGAACACCGGUGGCGAAGGCGGCGUCCUGGACCAACACUGACGCUGAGGCGCGAAAGCUAGGGUAGCAAACGGG
rnacentral:rRNA from 1 species